rnacentral:misc_RNA from 1 species
AAGUCGUAACAAGGUUUCCGUAGGUGAACCUGCGGAAGGAUCAUUAACACGUAUCCAACGUUAAACCCCCCGUGAACCUUCAGUGCGCUCGCACUUUCUUAGAAAAGGUAGCAAUCCCUGGUAAAUCAUUGCCGAACAGUUUUGAUUCAGGGACUUCUGCGUAGACUGUGCUUGAGCGUGAGGCAAGUGGCCUGGCAUUCCUCUGCUUGUUGGUGUCUGAAAGUGUCACCAGCUCUGUACGAAUGGCGCAGUCACGAUCGCUAGCGGGUCACUGGGCGCGAGCCCCCCUCGUCACCUUUGCAUGAAAACGGGCCUGCGCUUAAUUGUGCGGCCACCAAACUCGAACAACUGUUAACAAUGGAUAUCUUGGUUCUC